CACGGUGGUGUUCAGUCAAAGGCUGGACUCAGAGGUCUUUUCCAGCCUAAUGGAUUCUGUGAUUUUGUGAAGGGGAUGUAUAUCUAAUCCUAAAGUGGCAUAAGGAAUAGCAAGAUGCCUGGAUGUCAGUCCCAACUGUGGAUUGUUAUUAUCAGUCCCAUUAAUACAGCCUGACUGAUAGGGUAGUUUUAAAAGUAGAACCGUGUUAGUAAAAAACACUAGGAAAACACCACUCUUCACAUUUCUUCUAACAUUUAAUGCUGCACAGUGCUUAGGGUUUUCUCUUAAUGCAUGCAUGGCAUCAGAAAUUGUGUUCCAGUGAUGUACCCUGUUCCAAGUAUUUUGGGAUGACUAAAUCACUCGGCUGGAAUUUAUCAGCUGAAUAAGAAUAGUUAAUCAUAACCUACAGGUUUUCAUAUAGAUAAAAUACUCUAUAAUUUUUUUUCCACUUAACCAUUUGUAAUUUUCUACAUUUCAUGGAGCCGCACAAGCAGUAUGUAUGCAACUUGAGUAUAUAGCUAGUAUCCUAUGUAUUGACAAAUAGGCUGGGACAAAUAGGCUUCUGUGCUGAAUAUUAACAUGCUCACCUCACACUUUUCCUCCCUUCAAAUGACAUGAGGAGUCCCUCCUGGCUGGCAGUGGUCAGUUGCAUGGGGAACUGUCAGGCUUAGUUGCUUGUAAAACAGGCCAAUCUUCAUUGUUAGAGUUUCUCUCUUCCAGCUUUUUACAUCAGGAUUUUCUACUUUGGUGUUUUCCUCAUUGGUUCCAGUGACACAGUUUUGCUCACAUGGCUGAACAAACUCAGUCUUAAUUUUCUGGAGUGUAAGUGAUUUUUCCAGGACGUAUUUGGAAAGAUGAUGCAAGAAAGUGUUUUGGGAAAGAAGGGUUUUGGUCUGCCUUUUUAAAUUGCAAAUUUAAAUGUGUUUGUUUACAAGCCCUACAAAUCAUUACAGGGGCAUUGAAUUGAUUAUGCUAAACUCACCAUUAACCCAGCUGAUCAUACAACACCCAGCUUGGGAGAAAUUCUGCAUUGGCACAGCCUCUUGUUAAUUAAUGGCUCCAGGUGGUCAGGGAAUAAUAGGAUGUACAUGACUUUGUUACUAACCCUAGAUAUCUAAAUGUGGGGUUUUGUGCUGAUAGAUUACUUAUUGACUGCUUAUUGAAUGUGAUCAUGUCAUAGAAGUCAAAGGUUUAAUAAAAAAGGCACCUACUUUUUCAUAAAAAAUAUUUGUUAGAGCACAUGUAAGUGAUGGUGGCUUGAAAUGUCACUCCAGGCAAUUUAAACCAAAUUGCAGAAAGGAACUAAGUUUUACCCCAAAAUAGCCUGUGAUCUAAUAGAAAGUAAUUCUAAGCUACAGCUCAUCCUGCAUUUUUCAUCACCAGCACCCUCCAUCUGUGCAUUACUUGUGUUGUUAUGAAUUUGGCAACACUUCAGCAGCAAGCUACUGUUUAUGAGAUCCCAGCAGCUAAAAGAAGCUAGUCAUUGGGAUUACUCAUUACUUGCCUUGUGAACUGCUCAAGGGAAUUUCUUCAAGAACUAUGUCAAAAUCAGCUUUAGAAACCAUUAAUUUGAGAGCUUUCAUUGACACAUAACAAGUGCUCCAAGAUUAUUGCUGGUCAAGUUGGUGGGCUUGGAAGGAAGAUUCUUUUUGUUGGUACUGAGAGAAAAUUUUCUCAUUUUGUACAAGGAAACGAGGAUAAAAAAGGCUCUUUCCCUCUGCAAGAAGAAAUCUGACACAGUGGGAACUCAAUCCCCCAGACAACAUGAAUGCUUGCAGAAGGAUACAUUCUCUUCGUGCUCACAGACAGAAAACUAAUGGAAACAAAAUUGAGAACUGGCACAGCACCUCUGGGUUCAAGUACCAGCAUGGAGAUGAUCUUGUUACGGUCCACACCCUUUACACAGUGAUCAUCAUGAUCCUUCUAGUGGCACUUUGGGGAGCCUGGUCAAGAAAGGAUUCAUCCUUAUAGCAGCAAUAUAGCAACUUUCUUUGUCAAAUAUUUAAAGAAGUAUUUGUGUCAAUUAUCCAUACUCAAGAGGAAGAAAAAAAAAUCAGCCUAUUUCAGUUUAUUUGAAACUGCUUAAAUGGUUGCUACUUGUGGAAGUGAAUCUAUGAAGCAAUUCAAUGGGCCAUGCACAGAACAUAAUUUUGUGAAGAACAUAGACCUGUUUGACCUGUACACAUUUAUAUUACACUCAGCAUGUAUAUGAAAGUUUAAGCACCAUAUUCUAGAAAGAAGAAUUCAACUUCUGUUUUAGUGUUUUGUAUGUCCACCCCAGCCUUCCAUUUGUGCACUUGUCGAGUCUCUACCUCUGCUAAGUUUGCCUGUCCCAAUCCAUGAUAAAACAUACAAUAUAAGGAGGGAAAUAAUCUGCCAUGUCACAACAACAUAGGAAAAAAUAAUCAAUAAACCCAGCUAUUCUGCCAGCAAAGGAAGAUCACUGAAAGAGUUGAAUUCUCAUCUCCAUUGCUGAAGAGAGUUUGUAUGAGACUUGCAUCCAUUAUUUUUAACUUAUGGUAAUGAUUUUAUAAGCUCAGGAAUAAAACUAUGAAAUGAGCUGUA